rnacentral:rRNA from 1 species
CCUCCCAUCCGUGUCUAUUGUACCCUGUUGCUUCGGCGGGCCCGCCGCUUGUCGGCCGCCGGGGGGGCGCCUCUGCCCCCCGGGCCCGUGCCCGCCGGAGACCCCAACACGAACACUGUCUGAAAGCGUGCAGUCUGAGUUGAUUGAAUGCAAUCAGUUAAAACUUUCAACAAUGGAUCUCUUGGUUCCGGCAUCGAUGAAGAACGCAGCGAAAUGCGAUAACUAAUGUGAAUUGCAGAAUUCAGUGAAUCAUCGAGUCUUUGAACGCACAUUGCGCCCCCUGGUAUUCCGGGGGGCAUGCCUGUCCGAGCGUCAUUGCUGCCCUCAAGCCCGGCUUGUGUGUUGGGUCGCCGUCCCCCUCUCCGGGGGGACGGGCCCGAAAGGCAGCGGCGGCACCGCGUCCGAUCCUCGAGCGUAUGGGGCUUUGUCACAUGCUCUGUAGGAUUGGCCGGCGCCUGCCGACGUUUUCCAACCA